UCGCUACCUUUGGCUGGAGCUACUAGCUGCAUUUAGCAGUUAGCCACGCAGCUGGUGGCCCUGUGAGCUGAAAGGAGAGGAGUGAGAGUCCGGCACCAGCAGUGUGAGAAACUGAGGAUUCAUUUCAACAGAACUAGAGUUUCAUCCAAAGUACGAUCAGGCAGAUCCAAAGUGCCCACCCCAUCAGAACAUCGGCUGGUGUUGUGACAUCAUCAUCAACGUGAGUGUGGAUACCUGCUCUUUCUCCCAACAACACUGAAGGUUGAAGGACUGAUCUAGGCAGAGACUGCGAGGCCUGCCUCUGUGCCUUUCAGCUUGAUCUGAGCAGAAGUGAUCCCGGAGGGUGGAGGUUGGGUAAAAUCCUCAGUCACAGCAGUUCAGUCUUGAAUCUGGGACGUCAAGUCAGGAUAGCUGAAGAGUGUGACAGGAAACGGUAAGAGAGGGGGCGUGACACGCAGCAAACAGACCCGGGCCGGGAGUCGAACCCGGGGCCGCUGCAGAGCCUCGGCACAUGGGUCGCACACGCUACCAACCGAGCUAAGCGGCGUCCACGUCUGUAUCUUCUGCCAGAGGGCAGCAGGGUGAACAGACUGUGGCUGGGAUGGCUGUUGUUGUGUCCUUUGGGCUCUUUGCAGACACUUUGCUGACGCACCUACACUAUCCCCAAGAAGUGAAGAGGGUUAGACAUCCACACACUUCACCAUGAAGUUGUCUGGAUGUCUGGGAGCACAUUACUGCAUGCAUAGUAUGAACAGCAGGGGGCUGAGCACACAGCCCUGGGGGACUCCGGUGAUGACAACGACUGAACUAAGAACUAAUAGAACUAAGUACUAAGUUGUAUUUGAGCCCACAGUGCGUAGUGUUCAUGAGAUUGUAUUGAAUGCUGAGCUGAAGUCAACACAGAGUAUUCUGAUGUCGUUUUUCAGGCUCGCAUUACAUGUGUGCAGCCAUUUUUCUUUCUUUGUGGCAAUGCAUGUUUAAGAUGACUCACUGACUUUGGAAAUAGUUUGUCAGGCUUGAGAAAUAGAACAACCACAAUUUGGUCAUUGCUCUUUGAAAAAGCAUACUUGCAUUAUUACACCAUUGUAUUC